CACCGCGGUUAUACGAGAGGCCCAAGUUGAUAAACUACGGCGUAAAGGGUGGUUAAGAGAUAUCCAUAAACUAAAGUCGAAAACCCCCCAUUCUGUAAUACGAUAUCCGGGGGUAUGAAGCCCAGCCACGAAAGUGACUUUACCACAUCCGACCCCACGAAAGCUGAGAAA
rnacentral:rRNA from 1 species